UGGGGAAUAUUGCACAAUGGGCGCAAGCCUGAUGCAGCCAUGCCGCGUGUGUGAAGAAGGCCUUCGGGUUGUAAAGCACUUUCAGCGAGGAGGAAGGUGGUGAAGCUUAAUACGCUCAUCAAUUGACGUUACUCGCAGAAGAAGCACCGGCUAACUCCGUGCCAGCAGCCGCGGUAAUACGGAGGGUGCAAGCGUUAAUCGGAAUUACUGGGCGUAAAGCGCACGCAGGCGGUUUGUUAAGUCAGAUGUGAAAUCCCCGGGCUCAACCUGGGAGCUGCAUUUGAAACUGGCAAGCUAGAGUCUCGUAGAGGGGGGUAGAAUUCCAGGUGUAGCGGUGAAAUGCGUAGAGAUCUGGAGGAAUACCGGUGGCGAAGGCGGCCCCCUGGACGAAGACUGACGCUCAGGUGCGAAAGCGGUGGGAGCAAACAGGAUUAGAUACCCUGGUAGUCCACGCUGUAAACGAUGUCGAUUUUGGAGGUUGUGCCCUUGAGGCGUGGCUUCCGGAGCUAACGCGUUAAAUCGACCGCCUGGGGAGUACGGCCGCAAGGUUAAAACUCAAAUGAAUU
rnacentral:rRNA from 1 species